GACGAACGCUGGCGGCGUGGAUUAGGCAUGCAAGUCGAACGGUAUCAUCCUUUCGGGGGUGAGAGAGUGGCGAACUGGUGAGUAACACGUAGGUUAUCUACCCUCAAGACGGGGACAACCCAGGGAAACUUGGGCUAAUACCGGAUGUGAGCAACUUUUAGUUGUUUGAAAGGUGGCGUAAGCUGUCGCUUGGGGAUGAGCCUGCGUCCUAUUAGUUAGUUGGUGAGGUAACGGCUCACCUAGGCAAUGAUAGGUAGGCGGCCUUAACGGGUGGUCGCCCACACUGGGAUUGAGAUACGGCCCAGACUCCUACGGGAGGCAGCAGUCGAGAAUAGUCUACAAUGGUCGGAAGACUGAUAGUGCGACGCCGCGUGAACGAUGAAUCCCUUCGGGGUGUAAAGUUCUUUUAUAUCUGAGCAGUGCUUCUUAUAUUAACAGUAUGGGGAGAGAGAUAUUAGCAUAUGAAUAAGCAACGGCUAACUCCGUGCCAGCAGCCGCGGUAAU
rnacentral:rRNA from 1 species